AGAGUUUGAUCAUGGCUCAGAUUGAACGCUGGCGGCAGGCCUAACACAUGCAAGUCGAGCGGAUGAAGGGAGCUUGCUCCUGGAUUCAGCGGCGGACGGGUGAGUAAAUGCCUAGGAAUCUGCCUGGUAGUGGGGGAUAACGUCCGGAAACGGGCGCUAAUACCGCAUACGUCCUGAGGGAGAAAGUGGGGGAUCUUCGGACCUCACGCUAUCAGAUGAGCCUAGGUCGGAUUAGCUAGUUGGUGGGGUAAAGGCCUACCAAGGCGACGAUCCGUAACUGGUCUGAGAGGAUGAUCAGUCACACUGGAACUGAGACACGGUCCAGACUCCUACGGGAGGCAGCAGUGGGGAAUAUUGGACAACGGGCGAAAGCCUGAUCCAGCCAUGCCGCGUGUGUGAAGAAGGUCUUCGGAUUGUAAAGCACUUUAAGUUGGGAGGAAGGGCAGUAAGUUAAUACCUUGCUGUUUUGACGUUACCAACAGAAUAAGCACCGGCUAACUUCGUGCCAGCAGCCGCGGUAAUACGAAGGGUGCAAGCGUUAAUCGGAAUUACUGGGCGUAAAGCGCGCGUAGGUGGUUCAGCAAGUUGGAUGUGAAAUCCCCGGGCUCAACCUGGGAACUGCAUCCAAAACUACUGAGCUAGAGUACGGUAGAGGGUGGUGGAAUUUCCUGUGUAGCGGGGAAAUGCGUAGAUAUAGGAAGGAACACCAGUGGCGAAGGCGACCACCUGGACUGAUACUGACACUGAGGUGCGAAAGCGUGGGGAGCAAACAGGAUUAGAUACCCUGGUAGUCCACGCCGUAAACGAUGUCGACUAGCCGUUGGGAUCCUUGAGAUCUUAGUGGCGCAGCUAACGCGAUAAGUCGACCGCCUGGGGAGUACGGCCGCAAGGUUAAAACUCAAAUGAAUUGACGGGGGCCCGCACAAGCGGUGGAGCAUGUGGUUUAAUUCGAAGCAACGCGAAGAACCUUACCUGGCCUUGACAUGCUGAGAACUUUCCAGAGAUGGAUUGGUGCCUUCGGGAACUCAGACACAGGUGCUGCAUGGCUGUCGUCAGCUCGUGUUGUGAGAUGUUGGGUUAAGUCCCGUAACGAGCGCAACCCUUGUCCUUAGUUACCAGCACCUCGGGUGGGCACUCUAAGGAGACUGCCGGUGACAAACCGGAGGAAGGUGGGGAUGACGUCAAGUCAUCAUGCCCCUUACGGCCAGGGCUACACACGUGCUACAAUGGUCGGUACAAAGGGUUGCCAAGCCGCGAGGUGGAGCUAAUCCCAUAAAACCGAUCGUAGUCCGGAUCGCAGUCUGCAACUCGACUGCGUGAAGUCGGAAUCGCUAGUAAUCGUGAAUCAGAAUGUCACGGUGAAUACGUUCCCGGGCCUUGUACACACCGCCCGUCACACCAUGGGAGUGGGUUGCUCCAGAAGUAGCUAGUCUAACCGCAAGGGGGACGGUUACCACGGAGUGAUUCAUGAUGGGGUGAAGUCGGAACAAGGUAGCCGUAGGGGAACCUGCGGCUG
rnacentral:rRNA from 1 species